CAAAGAGUAGUUUAAUUCAAAAUUCUAGCUUUGGGGGUUAGUGAUGAGGGUUUAAAUCCUUCCUCUUUGA
rnacentral:tRNA from 1 species